rnacentral:lncRNA from 1 species
UUAUCGUACUAACAACUGCAGAUUAGAUUUAUUGGACUCUUUCUAGAUGGUAGGUUCCUUGAUAAGUUGUUAACACUAACAACAGCAUCAACAUUUAUUGAGCAUUUAUUCUGUGUCAAGCACCUUGGUAAUUGUUGUGCAUGAACUAUUUCAUUUUAUCUUCACAAAAGUUGUCUGGGAUAAGAUGCUAUUAUUAACAGGAUUUUUACAGGUUGGGAGAAGUGUCUUAGAGAGUUUAGGCAAAUUGUCGAAAGUCACACAGCUAGUAAAUUAGAGAGUCAGGUUUCAAAAUCAUGUCUAUCUAACUUAAAACAAGUACUCAACUUUUGCUUGGGACAGUCUCAACAGAUCUAAAAUUCCAGUGUUUAUCAUUCUUGCUCAGUAAUGAAUUCAUAGGGAAAGUGAUACUUGAUCUGUGUUGUAAAGUGUGGACAAGGAGACCACUAAGAAAAUGAUUUAAGAAGGUAUUCAUUCCAAUUGAAAACAACAUACUAAAGAAAACAGGGAAGCAGAAACCCACAGCAUGGCCCCAUUUUCCCAGCAUCACUCAUUGAAAAGGUAUUAAUAUGUCAUCAUCAAUUUGACAAAAGCAAAUGGUGAGUUAAAAAUCUUUCCAUUGAAAAUGACAGGGAAUCCAACUCAAACUGGCUUGAAGAAUAACGGGAUGUAUAAACUUGCAUCAGUGAAAAGGCCAGAGGCAGGACCAGCUUCAGGUACAGUUUGAUCUAGAAUCAUCAAGGACCAGUUUUGUUCCUUUCCAUAUUUCCUCUUUGCAUUCCAAAGCAUCAGUUGCUUCUUCAGUCCUCAAAUGGCUUCCCAUUGGCAGUUCCGUGGUCUUCUGACCUAGUAGUAAAGAAGCCGUUCAGGUCUUUAUGUCUUCACACCAUACGGAUCACAGAAGGAGUGGCUUUCAAGGAGGGGAGAGAACUUUCUUUUUCCCAGAAGCCCUAGAAGACUUCUCCACAGGUUUCAGUGGGUCUGGGCCAAGGAUCAAUACCACAAAAAUGCAUGACUGAUCAUGGGAAAGAAGUAACAGCCCCAAAGCCAACUCCAGCUGGUGUUAUCUGA